UUCUUCACCAGAACAGAAACCGAGUCAACUUUAAGCCUGGGUCUUCCCUUCCUUUUUGGUAUUUGGAAUGAAAAGACUUACACUUACAUAGGGUUAUUUAUAUUUGAGGCAGUUUCCUCCCAGCAGAUAAACAUUUAAAGUUUGAAUGUUUUGUAUAUUUCAGAUCUUCACACAGAGAAACAAUCAACCACAAUAGAGCUACUAAUAGCUGAAGGGAGUUAAGAAUUUACAAGCCCCAAAUAUGCAGCUGUGGCAUAUUGACUAUUUUGAGUUAAAGGCACUUAAAAAACAGCAGGUGCAAGAAGAUCACUCUGAGCUUCAUUCUGUUUCUAAAGAGGAGAGGAAAUUCUCAUGUGAAAAGAUAUCAUCGUAUACCAAAAGAAGUGUUAUGCUUAUCAUCAGGGACUGGAAGUUGAUGCCAAGGGAAAUUUGUGCAAACAAACCUUGUUAGACUAGCCCUUAUCUUCCUAGUCACUUCUCUACCCAAUUAACUGCCCAGCCCAAGCCUUAUCACAUUUUCACAGUUUACUACUCUUUGUCCAACUCAGCAUGUAAGUGUUUGACUCUAGUUGUAUCUUUGGGUCUUUAUUUCCUUAUGAAGGCUCCAACGCCACAUAAAACUUGUAUUAAGUGAAUGUGUAUGCUUCUUUCCUAUUGAUCUGUCUUAUGUCGGUUUAAUUCUCAGGCCCAGCAAAACAACAACAACAACAACAACAAAAACACUUUCAAACUCCCCUACAUGGUAAUUCUCAGAGUGGAACAUAUACAGACAGGCUCAUAGUAGGAAGAAAAGAAAAAGAAAAGGAAGACAGCUCCACAACACACAAUGCUAGGCCAGAGGAUUACCCCAAAGAUCUACAGUCACUCAGACUCUUGGACUCAAAGAAUAGCAGACCAACAGCAGCAAUCAGCACCACCUGGGAGCUGUUAGAAAUUCAGCAUCUCAGGCUCCAUCCCAGAUUUACUGACUCUGAAUCUGCAUUUUAACAGGACACCAGGUCAUCCGCAUGCACGUGGAAGCUUCAGAAACACAGAGUUAAACUUCGCGUAGUGGAACGGCGAGUGGUGUUCUUCUGGGUUGCCUUUGCUAGUUUGCAUGUUUUCCAACUGUCCAUGACGUCUCCACAUCAAACGCCCUCCUGAAUAGUGGCUCUCAGCUGAAUAAUUGGUCGUCUAAUGCCUAAGUUGUUAAACAAAACAAACUUUGAAAGUCAGCUUUUUUUUUUUACAAGCCUUAGCUCACAGUGGCCUUUUGCUUCCUGCUGUUUUUCUUACGUAUCCGGGCUGUUCUGUUCUGUUUCUGCGUGGCCUUUGCCUUGUAUCCACCAUUGGUAUAGCGUGGUGAUAUGCUUUCUUUCUUUGAAUUUGCUUUAAUUUUUAAUAUUAUAUAUAUGGUACCUGAGAUAUUUUGAUACAAGGAUACAAUGUGUAAUAACCACAUCAAGGUAAAUGGGGUUCCAUCACCUCAAGAAUUUAUCCUUUCUUUGUGUUACAAACGUUCCAAUUAUACUCUUUUAGUUCUUUUAAAAUGUACAAUAAAUUAUUGUUGACUGUAGUACCUUGUUGUGCUAUGAAUCUUUUUUUUUUUUUUUUUUUUUUUUUUGAGAUGGGGUCUUGCUCUCUCACCGAGACUGGGGUGCAGUGGCCUGAUCUCAGCUCACCACAACCUCUGCCUCCCAGGCUCAAGCAAUUCUCCUGCCUCAGCCUCCCAAGUAGCUGGGACUACAGGGAUGCGCCACUACUGCCUAGCUAAUUUUUGUAUUUUUAGUAGAGACAGGGUUUCACCAUGUUGGCCAGAUUGGUCUCAAACUCCUGACCUCAAAUGAUCCACCUGCCUCAGCCUCCCAAAGUGCUGGGAUUACAGGCAUGAGGCAUCCCACCUGGCAGGAUACUAGAUCUUAUUAACUCUAUCUAACUCUAUUUUUGUACCCAUUAACGAUGAUAUGCUUUCUGGACAGGCAGACUUAUUCUUUGCUAAUGCCUCCUUUUCUUCCAAUAUCAUUUGCAAUUGCAUGGUUAUUUGGCUUCUUAUACCACCCUAUCCCCACCUGUUGUUUGCUAUUCCCCCACCUCUCAAUCACAGGUUUAUUGUAAUUUUGGUUAAAUCACUUUAAUUGUCUUCAUAUUGUUAAUUACACAUCUAAUAUAUUAUAGUUCCUUUCUUUUAUAAUUAAUUGCUAAUUAUGGAUUUAACCAUCGCUUAAAUUUAAGUGCUGAAAUCACUUUCAUUUUCUUAGGCAUUUAUGUGCCUCUAGCCAGUUCUUCCCAUUUUCUCCGUAGCUUCUCAAUAUAAUUUUCUACAUGAUGAAGUAAAUUUUAAUUUUCUUAUGAUUCUAUGUAUGUGUAGAUAAUUCUUCCCAUGCCCUCUACAGCUUUUCAGUUAACUUUUCCAUGAGAUGAGAGAAGCUAUCGGUUGUCAUUUUGUUCCAGAGACAUCCCUCCUUGGAGCCGUCUGGCUUCCUGUUGUAAUUGGAACGAAUUGACAGACAGGCCAGCGGCCCAGCUGACAUUCUGGGGCUUCCUUUCAUUAUCAUCUUGCUUAUCAGUGUGGGUCCAAUCAGGAGACAGAAAAAGGGGAAGUUUAAUAUAAGCAAUUAUUAAACUAUUAUAGGAGAAUAACUAUAAAGAUGUAAAGAAAACAAAAACGGGUACCCGAGGGUUGGGAGAAAGGCCCUAAGGAGGGGCUGCCUGGAGGGGCGCUUCUUCCCCAGGUUGCAUCCUUGCUGAGAAGGUGCGGUUGCAGACUCCUCGAUGGCAAGGGAGUUUCUGGGCUACUGGGGCCUGA
rnacentral:lncRNA from 10 species